GAUGAACGCUGGCGGCGUGCUUAACACAUGCAAGUCGAACGGUGAACCCGGAGCUUGCUCUGUGGGAUCAGUGGCGAACGGGUGAGUAACACGUGAGCAACCUGCACCUGACUCUGUGAUAAGCGCUGGAAACGGCGUCUCAUACUGGAUAUGUGAUGUGACCGCAUGGUCUGCGUUUGGAAAGAUUUUUCGGUAGGGGAUGGUUGCGCGGCUUAUCAGCUUGUUGGUGAGGUAAUGGCUCACCAAGUGGUCGACGGGUCGCCGGCAUGAGAGGGUGACCGGGGACACUAGUACUGAGAGAGGGACCAGACGCCUACGGGAGGCAGUAGGGGAGAAUAUUGCACAAUGGGCGCAAGCCUGAUGCAGCAACGCCGCGUGAGGAAUAACGUCUUACGGGUUGUAAACCUCUGUGAGCAGAGAAGAAGAGAAAGUGACGGUACCUGCAGAAAAAGCGACGGCUAACUACGUG
rnacentral:rRNA from 1 species